UACUCAAAGACUCCCUCACAACACUAUCCCAAGGCACCGGUAUCUAAAUCCUACCUUAGAGAUACGACCGGAACCACUGCAAGACAGUGCCUCCAAUUUCCAACCUGCCCAGAGAUUCCAGAAAGUCAAUGAUACUGAAUGCUGCUGAGAGAUCUCAAAGCACCAACGGGGACAUGGAGAUCAUCCACUAUCACUUGAUUGCCAUUACUGCAUUUCUUGAGAGCAUAAUAGGGGGCAAAAGGAGCCGCUAUGAUGAAGAAGUUGCCUUAUUAUAAAUCUGCCUGGCUCAUUAUUGCC
rnacentral:lncRNA from 11 species